GAUGAACGCUAGCGGCAGGCUUAACACAUGCAAGUCGAGGGGUAUGCUUCUUCGGAAGCAGAGACCGGCGCACGGGUGCGUAACGCGUAUGCAAUCUACCUUUUACAGAGGGAUAGCCCAGAGAAAUUUGGAUUAAUACCUCAUAGUAUUAUAGAAUGGCAUCAUUUUAUAAUUAAAGUCACAACGGUAAAGAUGAGCAUGCGUCCCAUUAGCUAGUUGGAAGGUAACGGCUUACCAAGGCUACGAUGGGGUAGGGGUCCUGAGAGGGAGAUCCCCCACACUGGUACUGAGACACGGACCAGACUCCUACGGGAGGCAGCAGUGAGGAA
rnacentral:rRNA from 1 species